UACGUAGGGAGCUAGCGUUGUUCGGAAAUACUGGGCGUAAAGCGAACGUAGGCGGCUUUCUAAGUCAGGGGUGAAAUCCCGGGGCUCAACCCCGGAACUGCCCUUGAAACUGGAAGGCUAGAAUCCUGGAGAGGUCAGUGGAAUUCCGAGUGUAGAGGUGAAAUUCGUAGAUAUUCGGAAGAACACCAGUGGCGAAGGCGACUGACUGGACAGGUAUUGACGCUGAGGUUCGAAAGCGUGGGGAGCAAACAGG
rnacentral:rRNA from 1 species